UUGCUCCUACGGGGCGCAGCAGUGAGGAAUAUUGGUCAAUGGGAGAGAUCCUGAACCAGCCAAGCCGCGUGAGGGAAGACGGCCCUGUGGGUUGUAAACCUCUUUUGUCGGAGAACAAAACCCGGGACGUGUCCCGGGCUGCGUGUAUCCGAAGAAAAAGCAUCGGCUAACUCCGUGCCAGCAGCCGCGGUAAUACGGAGGAUGCGAGCGUUAUCCGGAUUUAUUGGGUUUAAAGGGUGCGUAGGCGGUCCGUUAAGUCAGCGGUAAAAUUGCGGGGCUCAACCCCGUCGAGCCGUGGCAACUGG
rnacentral:rRNA from 1 species